CACCUGCAUAGUAAUACAUGAUCCAAAUUAGUCCAUCAGUUGGUUAGCUCAGUUUUACUGGCCACAAACAGUUAAAAAGCAUGUCCAUACAUCGCUGGUUUAAUACUGUUGAUGAGAGUUAAAGGACAACAUGCCUACCAGAUGUUAUGCUUCCUCAUCUGUAAAAAGGAUGUCGUACUUCCUACUGACAUCAAAAGAUCUGCCCAAGGAAAGGAAGAAUAUGUGAAGCAUGAGCAGGACUUUUGUUCUAGGCUGAUGAUGUGGCUUCUGUUUUAGAGGGAGUGCCUUCAGUUUGGCGGUUGAAGACCUUGCUUUGUUAAAGGCCUCAUGUCCGUUUGGUUUCAGAAAAGGAAAACUGCAGCCGGUCUGAUAAUAGGUAACUUGCUGACCUUGUCUAGGCAUGCUGUUUUAGUUUCAGAGGAGUAACCAGGACGGCUAAUUAUGUCUUUGAGCUAUGCAGUGUAACAACUCUUAUUAUGCAAUUCAAAGUAUGUUAUGGUAGCAGAGGAUUGGUUAUGGACUCCUAAAAUCAGGAAUACGUUCAUACUAUUUGGUUACUGUAACUGAUAAAAAGGAUGUGCUGCUUCUUUCUUGCUACUGUUUAUGAUGGAGAAGUUGAAGGAAGGAGGUGACUUGGCAAGUUGCAUCAACACCUACCAGUCAGAAAGAAACCAAAAGAAGGGGAUACAGUGUAGUGAUGGUCCUUCUGUAAGAAGAAUUCUUUGGGGGGAGAAUGGUAGCUUGUUCAUCUGCUAGUCAAAGUUGGAUUGAAGCUGAAACUGAUAGUUGGGCAGGAAGGCAUUAAUUCAUGAUGAUGCCAAUAAUGCAGGAUUCACUGGCAUGGGUAUUUUGAUAGCGAGUUUUAUUAACUGUAAUUCAGGACACAGAGCUACCUGGAUGUUUAGAGUAACAGAAUGGAUUUUAGUUUUACAUAGUGCCGUAGCGUUAGUUUGUUCGUGAGUUUUUCAUGAGUGAAGCGUGAACUUACCGAUGGAGUUUUAGCUAUUUAUACUUUUCUGGACCAUUUUAAGCUGAGACUUGAGAACCAUUUGUUUGUUUCUUCUU